ensembl:lncRNA
AUGAUGCUGUUGGGAAGAGACAUCAUAAAGGUACAUAAAGUUAUGAAGUACAUCAAUGGACCCCGCGAAGCCUCAUAUGCACUGAAGUUAGACCUUGGUUGGGUCAUAGUGGGCAAUGUCUGCUUAGGCAAGGUGCACAAGCCAGAUAGAGUCAACGUUCUCUUCACCAACACCUUGGGUAGUGGUCGUCAAUCACUUUUCAAGCCAUGUCCUAAUGCCUAUUACAUCAAGGAGCAUGUUUGUUAUGAUCAUCCAGGUCUUCAAGUUACAGGUGUUGUGAAGAGAUCCGUAUGGGAAGAAAAUGGAUAUCAUGAGGAAUCGGAUGUUUUCAAGAGGAUGAAGGAUGAUGAGAAGAUAGCUCUGUCUGUUGAAGAUUUGACCUUUCUCCGCAUAAUGAAGGAGGGAUUCUACAAAGAUGAAAAGAAUAGCUGGGUUGCCCCUCUGCCAUUCAAACCUCAGAGGCGAUGUCUCCCAAACAAUAAGACACAAGCUGUAGAUCCCUUCAGAUCUCUACAGCGGUCUUUUUCCAAGAAACCUAUCAUGAAGGAACAUUUCUUCGUAUUCAUGGAGAAGAUACUGGCGAAAGGUCACGCAGAGAUAGCCCCGCCACUUAACCAUCAAGACGAGUGUUGGUAUCUGCCUCUUUUUGGAGUUUAUCACCCAAAGAAGCCGGGAGAGAUCAGAGUGGUCUUCGAUUCAAGCUGUCAGUAUGAUGGUGUCUCACUAAACGACGUACUUUUGAAAGGUCCAGAUAUCAACAAUGGGCUCCUGGGUGUGCUCUUGCACUUUAGAAAGGAAGCAGUACCUGUCACCACGGAUAUACAACAGAUGUUUCAUUGUUUCUUAGUCAAGCCAGCGGACAGGAACCUUCUCAGAUUCUUCUGGUAUGAAGAUAAUGACCCAGAGAAGAACAUCAUCGAGUACAGGAUGAAGGUUCAUAUCUUCGGAAACAGUACUUCUCCUGCCGUAGCAAUUCAUGGCCUCAGACAAGCAGCGAAAGAGGCUGAGGCAGACUUCAGAGCAGACGUUGUAAAGUUUGUAGAAAGGAAUUUCUACGUUGAUGACGGUUUAAAAUCUCUACCGUCUGGGGCAGCUGCUAUUGACCUUCUCAAGAGGACCCAAGCAGCCUUGGCACGUUCCAAUUUGAAGCUGCACAAAAUUGUUUCUAACAGCAAGGAGGUCAUGGAUGCGUUUCCUUUAGAUGAGAGGGCCAGUAAUCUAAGAGACAUGGAACAUGGCAAGGUUGAAGUAUCUGUACAGCGUACCCUUGGAGUUAGCUGGAAUCUCGUAACUGAUACGUUUACGUUUCAGCUGUCAAGCGACACAAAACAAUUAACACGACGUGGAGUUCUUUCUACCGUGAAUGGUUUAUAUGACCCCUUUGGGUUCGCAGCCCCAGUCAUCAUCUGA